rnacentral:rRNA from 1 species
UACGAAGGGGGCUAGCGUUGCUCGGAAUCACUGGGCGUAAAGGGUGCGUAGGCGGGUCUUUAAGUCAGGGGUGAAAUCCUGGAGCUCAACUCCAGAACUGCCUUUGAUACUGAAGAUCUUGAGUUCGGGAGAGGUGAGUGAACUGCGAGUGUAGAGGUGAAAUUCGUAGAUAUUCGCAAGAACACCAGUGGCGAAGGCGGCUCACUGGCCCGAUACUGACGCUGAGGCACGAAAGCGUGGGGAGCAAACAGGG